GGGGAUUAGUGGCGAACGGGUGAGUAACACGUGAGUAACCUGCCCUUGACUCUGGGAUAACCUCCGGAAACGGAAGCUAAUACCGGAUACGACGUACGGAGGCAUCUCCUGUACGUGGAAAGAACUUCGGUCAAGGAUGGACUCGCGGCCUAUCAGGUAGUUGGUGAGGUAACGGCUCACCAGGCCUACGACGGG
rnacentral:rRNA from 1 species